rnacentral:lncRNA from 1 species
GUCCUCUUUUAGAACUAGUGGAAAAAACUAAAAGUUGAAAUGAAAGCUUUAAAACGUGCAUCUAUAGUACAAUACUAUGAGACGGUGAAAUAUUUAUCAAGAGUCGUUCUUUUAGAACUAGUGGAAACAACCAAAAGAAAAAACAGUGAAUCUAUUAUACCUACAAAUCCGCGCACCCCCCUACAAAUGGUAUCAGAGCACAGUAAUUUAAAAAGUACGGAAGAGAUAUAUAUUAGAGUUAGAGUUAUAAAAGAAUUAAAGUUAAAAAAUUACCUACGAAAAAAUUAAAUUAAUUAUGCGAAGACCAUUUAAAAAUAGAGAAGCUUUUAGAAAAAUUAAAGAAUCAUUAAUUAGUAAUUAUUCAGAAUAUAUAAGUCUAAAUAAAACAAAAGAAAAUCCACAAAAACUAGCCUAUUUAAUUACAUUAAUAUCUAGUAUUGAAUCAAAGUUAAUAACACAUUUAAAAUCUAGAAGAAUGAAACAUAUACCGCCUAAUUAUAAUAAAAUUAGAUUUAGAUAUCCACCAAGAUAUUAUAAAUAUAAUUUAAAAUGAAUAAAAUACAAC